rnacentral:rRNA from 1 species
AUUGAACGCUGGCGGCAUGCCUUAUACAUGCAAGUCGAACGGCAGCACGGGUGCUUGCACCUGGUGGCGAGUGGCGAACGGGUGAGUAAUAUAUCGGAACGUACCUUAUUGUGGGGGAUAACGCAGCGAAAGCUGUGCUAAUACCGCAUAAUCCCUAAGGGGGAAAGCGGGGGACCGUAAGGCCUCGCGCAAUUAGAGCGGCCGAUACCUGAUUAGCUAGUUGGUGAGGUAAAGGCUCACCAAGGCAACGAUCAGUAGCUGGUCUGAGAGGACGAGCAGCCACACUGGGACUGAGACACGGCCCAGACUCCUACGGGAGGCAGCAGUGGGGAAGUUUGGACAAUGGGGGCAACCCUGAUCCAGGAAUGCCGCGUGAGUGAAGAAGGCCUUCGGGUUGUAAAGCUCUUUUGUCAGGGAAGAAACAGUAGCUCUAACACAGUUUGCGAAUGACGGUACCUGAAGAAUAAGCACCGGCUAACUACGUGCCAGCCGCCGCAGUAA